AUUACAAUCCACUCAACUCUUCCUCACAUUCAAUAUAAAACACUCUUGCUGCCAUGUCGCCGUUCGAACUUCAAAACCCUAGAAGCUUCAACUGAAAAAUCCCCUAAAACUCAACAUCAAAACCUCAAGAAAUUUUUCUAACUAGCCGAAUAUCCAGCACUGCCUUGUUUUCGUUCGUACUGCAAAACCCUAGCGAAUUCAACAGCAAAACCCUGAUAAAUUCGACCCCAAACCAACAAAUUUGACCCCAAAAUCAAUAAAUUCAACUAGUAAUUGAAAACCCCAGAAUAUCCAAGCCAAAACCCCCCAUUUUCAAGCAAAUCCGAGGAAAAACACCCUAUUUUUGAGCAAAAAUCGACCAAAACCCCCACGAAAUUCGAACUAUUAAAACCGCUGAUAGUCGAGAUGAAAUACUCUACAUCGAGGCUAGCAAGGGAUUGCUGCUUGUUGGUGUUGCUGUUGAUGGUUAGAAGGGGAAGCAGUGGAGAUGGUUGACAGUAAUAAGAGGUGCGAAAUUAUCGUUUUAAGUGUGCAGCAGGUGCUUGUGGUUGAUGGUGAGUGCGGUGGUCUGGCCUAGUGUAGUGGGCAAUUUGUUGCAGAUAGCUAUUUUGUUGUUGAGUUGUUUGUGAAUUGCAGGGGAUAAUGUCAAGGUUUCUCUCUCUUAUAUUUAGAUUAACUCUAAUCUUAUUGUUAUUCAGAGAAUUUUCUAGUUUAGUUAUUCUAUAAUUUGAGGUAAUAAUUAAUUUCUUACUUGAUUCUCUCAUAUUAAAGGUAAUUUAACAUUACAAUCGAAGGUUUUAAAAAAAAAUACAAUUGAAGCGGCAUAAUCUAGUUUUUCAUUACCGAAUAAGAAUUUUAAGAGAAGUAGUCAAAAUAAUGACACAAUGUUAUUCCUUUGUUUUGUGUAUGAUAUUGUUUACCUCAAAUUGAAAUGAUGAUGUUAAUUACUACUUAAUGAUAAAGUGAUUAUGAGUUGAUGGCAUUCUGUUUUUGCAUUUCGUAUUUUAAGAAAAUAAUGGCACUGCAAUUUCAUUUUGUUUUGUGUACGAGAAGACAAGUACAAUGAACAUGUUUAAGCUAGACAUAUAAACUUUGGUAAAACAGGACUAAACUUAUUAGGGCCGUGAUUAAUAGCAAUUGUAGCUUAAAUUGGUCCAUAGUUUUUGUGUAUGUUAUUAAUCAAAUAAUGAAAUAAUCACCCAACCUUCCAACAGUAUAUUAACUCUGUAGAGUUCUAGCUGAAAUCUAAUCUUUAACAGUCCUCAUCACCAAGUGUUCGAAUCGAAGGUAUCAUGAUCUUACUCUGGAGUCAAUGAAUGAUGCUAACAAUGUAAAGAAUGCAAAAUUCGAAUAAUACGUUACUAGAAUUCCCAUUAGUUACUGUAAUAGUUGCAAUUACAGAAUUUACAGGAAGAAUCAUUGAAGAAGAUUGAUUUUGAUUUAAUAUAUGUAUAAUCCUUAAAUCAUGGAUAUAAAUUUAUCAAAAAUGAAUAUAAUGGUCUAUUUUUCUCUUUAAAAUUGUGAAUUAAGUUCUAAUCCGAGAUGUUUUUCUCUUUAAAAUGUGGUGAGAAUGAUAUGAUUAGUAUUCUUAUUUUUCAUGCUUAGGUUUUAUCUUGUUUGAAAUGAGUUGAAUGAGUCUAUUGACUUUGUGGCUAUGAUGCGAGCGUGUAGUGUCAUCAAAAAUUGGGAGGAAGUGAGAUGUGGCUACUAUAUCGUGCACUAUAUGUUUGAAACAGUUUAACAUCACCGUAGUAAUGAGGAUCUUGUUAGUACGUGUUGUCAGAUAUUUCACUACUAAUUCAUCAAUUUAUUUUAAAUUGGCUACAUUCUUGAAUUGAUUAGUUUUUGUUUUUGUGUUGUGUUAACAGGAUUUUUCAAGAACAAUACCUUAUAAUGGGGAGGAGAUAAAUGAGGUUCGAGAUAUUUAGUCAAACUUUUUCAUGAUCAACGUUGAAAUUUAGAUUUAAACUUAGCUAAAUCCAUUUGUUGUUAGACUUUUUUUUUGUUUUAGUUCUUAGGCUUGAAAUGAAUGUAUUUGGGGUACCAACAUUUUGGGUUGGUCUUUGUUCUUGUGUUGGUUGAUGAUAUCAAUAAUUUUGAGUUGUAAAAUUUUGAGACUCUGCCGAAAUUUACAUUUGCAUUCAAUAAUAUUGCAUUUUAAUUUCAAUUA